UAAUAGACUACCCAGGUAGUCCACGCCCUAAACGAUGCGAACUGGAUGUUGGGUACAUUACGGUACUCAGUGUCGAAGCUAACGCGUUAAGUUCGCCGCCUGGGGAGUACGGUCGCAAGACUGAAACUCAAAGGAAUUGACGGGGGCCCGCACAAGCGGUGGAGUAUGUGGUUUAAUUCGAUGCAACGCGAAGAACCUUACCUGGCCUUGACAUCUGUCGAAUCCUGCAGAGAUGCGGGAGUGCCGCAAGGAACGACAAGACAGGUGCUGCAUGGCUGUCGUCAGCUCGUGUCGUGAGAUGUUGGGUUAAGUCCCGCAACGAGCGCAACCCUUGUCCCUAGUUGCCAGCACGUAAUGGUGGGAACUCUAGGGAGACUGCCGGUGGACAAACCGGAGGAAGGUGGGGAUGACGUCAAGUCCUCAUGGCCCUUACGGCCAGGGCUACACACGUACUACAAUGGUCGGUACAGAGGGUUGCGAAGCCGCGAGGUGGAGCCAAUACCCAGAAAACCGAUCCCAGUCCGGAUCGGAGUCUGCAA
rnacentral:rRNA from 1 species